rnacentral:rRNA from 1 species
UAUUAACGCUGGCGGCGUGCCUAAUACAUGCAAGUCGAACGAAACUUCUUUAUCACCGAGUGCUUGCACUCACCGAUAAAGAGUUGAGUGGCGAACGGGUGAGUAACACGUGGGCAACCUGCCCAAAAGAGGGGGAUAACACUUGGAAACAGGUGCUAAUACCGCAUAACCAUAGUUACCGCAUGGUAACUAUGUAAAAGGUGGCUAUACUACCGCUUUUGGAUGGGCCCGCGGCGCAUUAGCUAGUUGGUAGGGUAAAGGCUUACCAAGGCAAUGAUGCGUAGCCGAAUUGAGAGGUUGAUCGGCCACAUUGGGACUGAGACACGGCCCAAACUCCUACGGGAGGCAGCAGUAGGGAAUCUUCCACAAUGGGCGAAAGCCUGAUGGAGCAACGCCGCGUGGGUGAAGAAGGUCUUCGGAUCGUAAAACCCUGUUGUUAGAGAAGAAAGUGCGUGAGAGUAACUGUUCACGUUUCGACGGUAUCUAACCAGAAAGCCACGGCUAACUACGUG